AGGAAUAUUGGUCAAUGGGCGCGAGCCUGAACCAGCCAAGUAGCGUGAAGGAUGAAGGUCCUACGGAUUGUAAACUUCUUUUAUAAGGGAAUAAAGUCACCCACGUGUGGGUGUUUGUAUGUACCUUAUGAAUAAGCAUCGGCUAACUCCGUGCCAGCAGCCGCGGUAAUACGGAGGAUGCGAGCGUUAUCCGGAUUUAUUGGGUUUAAAGGGAGCGUAGACGGGCCGUUAAGUCAGCUGUGAAAGUUUGAGGCUCAACCUUAAAAUUGCAGUUGAUACUGGCGUCCUUGAGUACGGUUGAGGCAGGCGGAAUUCGUGGUGUAGCGGUGAAAUGCUUAGAUAUCACGAAGAACCCCGAUUGCGAAGGCAGCCUGCUAAACCGCCACUGACGUUGAGGCUCGAAAGUGUGGGUAUCAAACAGGAUUAGAUACCCUGGUAGUCCACACGGUAAACGAUGGAUACUCGCUGUUGGCGAUAGACUGUCAGCGGCUUAGCGAAAGCGUUAGGUAUCCCACCUGGGGAGUACGCCGGCAACGGUGAAACUCAAAGGAAUUGACGGGGGCCCGCACAAGCGGAGGAACAUGUGGUUUAAUUCGAUGAUACGCGAGGAACCUUACCCGGGCUUGAAUUGCAGACGAAUUGCUUGGAAACAGGCAAGCCGCAAGGCGUCUGUGAAGGUGCUGCAUGGUUGUCGUCAGCUCGUGCCGUGAGGUGUCGGCUUAAGUGCCAUAACGAGCGCAACCCUCGUGUCCAGUUACUAGCAGGUUAUGCUGAGGACUCUGGACAGACUGCCAUCGUAAGAUGUGAGGAAGGUGGGGAUGACGUCAAAUCAGCACGGCCCUUACGUCCGGGGCUACACACGUGUUACAAUGGGGGGUACAGCAGGCAGCUACCGGGCGACCGGAUGCCAAUCCCGAAAGCCUCUCUCAGUUCGGACUGGAGUCUGCAACCCGACUCCACGAAGCUGGAUUCGCUAGUAAUCGCGCAUCAGCCACGGCGCGGUGAAUACGUUCCCG
rnacentral:rRNA from 1 species